rnacentral:rRNA from 1 species
AUUGAACGCUGGCGGCACGCCUUACACAUGCAAGUCGAACGGUAACAGGUCUUCGGAUGCUGACGAGUGGCGAACGGGUGAGUAAUACAUCGGAACGUGCCUAGUAGUGGGGGAUAACUACUCGAAAGAGUGGCUAAUACCGCAUGAGAUCUACGGAUGAAAGCAGGGGAUCGCAAGACCUUGUGCUACUAGAGCGGCCGGUGGCAGAUUAGGUAGUUGGUGGGAGAAAAGCUUACCAAGCCGACGAUCUGUAGCUGGUCUGAGAGGACGAUCAGCCACACUGGGACUGAGAAACGGCCCAGACUCCUACGGGAGGCAGCAGUGGGGAAUUUUGGACAAUGGGCGCAAGCCUGAUCCAGCAAUGCCGCGUGCAGGAUGAAGGCCUUCGGGUUGUAAACUGCUUUUGUACGGAACGAAAAGCCCCGGGUUAAUACCCUGGGGUCAUGACGGUACCGUAAGAAUAAGCACCGGCUAACUACGUGCCAGCCGCCGCCGUAA